UUCUAUAUAUAUAUAUAUAUAUAUAUAGUGGGCUGGUAUGCUUUUGAAAGCACGGAGCCCUCCGUGCUUCCAAGUUGUUUUUGAUGUUCGGACUUUCGAAUCGACGAUCGGCCCCGUUAGAGUUGAUCUAGAGUACUUGAAGUACCGAGAAAAUAUAUUCAAAUCACAUGAAAUUUUGAUAGAAAAAUUUUUAUACCAUAUAAAACAAGAUCAAUAACUUUGAUCUAAAAUUUUAAUGUCAUAUCAUCAUAUUUUGUAAGAUUUUUAUUUUCAGCCAUUGAUUUUGAGCCACUUCGAUCACUAGGUAAAUGAUAUCAAAAAAUCGUAAAAUUUAUUUUCUAAAUAUUUUAAAUACUCUAGAUCAAGUCUAAUGGAGCCGAUCGUCGAUUCGAAAGUCCGAACAUCAAAAACAACUUGGAAGCACGGAGCGCUCCGUGCUUCCAAAAGCAUACGAGACGCACUAUAUAUAUAUAUAUAUAUAUAUAUAGAGAGAGAGAGAGAGAGAGAGAGAGAGAGAGAGAGAGUUGAGCUAGAAUACUCCUAAAAGCACCAUGGGAGUGAUGCUUUUGAGUUUUUAGCCAUUGGAUGGAGAGAUGUAGGGUUGAGAUGAUAGUAGUAGGUGGUGGUAGGUGGAAUAGUGUUUAAUCCAAGGACUAUUAGUAAUCAAGGAGUAAAUUCAAGGACUAGAAACUUAGAAGUACCAAGGGGUUGGUGCUUCUAAAAGUAUUAUAGCUCAAUUCUAUAUAUAUAUAUAUAUAUGGUAGGGCUGACCUUUAUAGUGCUUUUGAGAGUAUUCUAGCUCAACUCUCUCUCUCUCUCUCUCUCUCUCUCUAUAUAUAUAUG
rnacentral:lncRNA from 1 species